rnacentral:rRNA from 1 species
AUUGAACGCUGGCGGCAGGCCUAACACAUGCAAGUCGAACGAGUGGCGGACGGGUGAGUAAUGUCUGGGAAACUGCCCGAUGGAGGGGGAUAACUACUGGAAACGGUAGCUAAUACCGCAUACCAUCGGAUGUGCCCAGAGGGGAUUAGCUAGUAGGUGGGGUAACGGCUCACCUAGGCGACGAUCCCUAGCUGGUCUGAGAGGAUGACCGUCCACACUGGAGAUGAGCCCCCGUCCAGACUCCUACGGGAGGCAGCAGUGGGGAGUGUUGCACAAUGGGCGCAAGCCUGAUGCAGCCAUGCCGCGUGUAUGAAACAGGCCUUCUGGUUGUAAAGUACUUUCAGCGAGACGGCGUUACUCGCAGAAGAAGCACCGGCUAGCUCCGUGCCAGCCGCCGCGGUAAUUC